rnacentral:tRNA from 1 species
AUCAGAAUGGCCCAGCGGUCUCUAAGGCGCUGCGUUCAGGUCUGAUCUCCGUUGGAGGCGUGGGUUCAAAUCCCACUUUCUGACA